AGUAUCCGUCCAGGUCUGCAGCAACGUCAAUUCUUGCCUCCUAAGAAGGAAGAAUUCGACUGAGGGGCACAAAGCAGAAAGGGCGACUGAGUCAAGUUCCAGAGCAGGAAUGAAAGUUUAUUUUAAAAUGCCUUAGAACAGGAACGAAAUGAAGGUGUGCAUGGAAAAGACCCACGCAGGCACAUGAAGGUUAAAGAGAGAAGAGAUGGAUCUCAAAAAAGAAAUCAAAACUGGCUCAGAUUUCCCAAGGAUUUCCAUAUCUAUAUACUAGAAGAUAAUUCAGACUUAUGCAUCUGAGAAGGGAAUUUCCAGAACCAAAUGUGGAGCUGGGAAAAGGCCAUAAUCUGAAGGGGAAAUGAAGCCUGAGUCUUGCAUGACAUGUCCUCCAGAAAAUAGUGAUCAUCUGGACCAUGAAGUUGAGAGGGAUGACCAGAGGCAGCCUGCUACAUCAGGAGUGAGAGAAUUAGAAGAAACUAUUCUAAAAUGUAUAUGGAACCAAAAAAAGCCCAAAUGGCCAAGGCAUUCUUAAGUAAAAAGAAUAAAUUCAGAAGAAUCACGUUACCUAAUUUCAAACCAUACUACAAUGCUAUGAUAACUAAAGCAGCAUGAUACUGGUACAAAAAUAGAUGCAUAGAUGUAUGGAAUAGAAUAGAAAAUGCUGAAAUGAAGCCACACACCUACAACCAACUGAUCUUUGACAAAACUGACAAAAAUAUACAGUGGGGAAAAGACACUUUAUUCAACAAAUGGUGUUGGGAAAACUGGCUAACCAUACGCAGAAGAAUGAAACUGGACCCCUACCUGUAACCAGAUACAAAAAUUAACUCCAGAUGGGUUAAAGGGUUAAAUGUAAGACCUCAAUAAAAAUCCUAGUAGGAAACCUAGGAAAUUCUCAUCUAAACAUUGACCUAGGCAAAUAAUUUAUGACGAAGACUCCAAAAGCAAGUGCAACUAAAUAAAAAAUAGAUAAAUGGGAUCUAAUUAAACAAAAGAGCUGAUGUACAGCAAAAGAAACUAUCAACAGAGGAAGUAGACAACCUACAGAAUAGGAGAAAAUAUUUGCCAACUAUGCAUCUGACAAAGGAUUAAUAUCCAGAAUCUACAUGGAACUUAAACAAAUGAAUAGUAUAGAAACAAAUAUGUCAAUUAAAAAGUGGGCAAAGUACAUGAAUAGACACUACUCAAAAGAAGACAUAUAAGUGACCAACAAACAUAUGAAACUAUGCUCAACAUCACUAAUCAUCAAAGAAAUAUAAAUCAAAACAACAGUGAGAUACCACCUUACUGCUGCAAAAAUGGCCAUUAUUUAAAUGUCAAAAAAAUAACAGAUGCUAGUGAGGAUUCAGAGAAAGGGGAACACUUAUACACUUCUGGUGGGAAUGCAAAUCAUUUUCACCCUUGUAAAAAGUAGUUUGGAAAUUGCUCAAAGAAUUAAAAAUAGAAUUACUAUUUGACCCAAAUGCCAUUACUGGAUAUGUACUCAAAAGAAAAUAAAUUGUUCUACCAAAAGGACUCCUGCAUUAAUAUGUUUAUUGCAGCACCAUUCACAAUAGCAAAGGCAUGGAAUCAAACUAGGUGCCCAUCAACAGUGAACUGCGUAAAGAAAAUGUGGCACAUAUGCACCAUGGAAUACUAUGCAGCCAAAAAAAAGAAUGAAAUUGCAUUCUUUGCAGCAACAUGGAAACAUGGAUGCAGCUGGAGGCCAUUAGCCUAAGUGAAUUAAGGCAGAAACAGACAACCAAAUACCACAUAUUCUCAUUUAUAAGUGGAAGCUAAACACUGGGUACACAUGGACACAAAGAUGGUAUCAAUAGGUAUGGGCCACUCCAAAAGUGGAGAGGGAAGGAUGCAGAUAAGUGUUGAAAAACUACCCACUGGUUACUCUGGUCGGUAUUUGGAUAGCGUGAUUGUUAGAAUAAUAUCCUAAUAAUACAACAAUUAUUAUCUAAUAAUAUCCUAAAAUAUAAUUAUUAUAUUAUAUAUAAUUACAUAAUAAUGUAAUAAUAAGAUGCUGAUUAUUAAAUUAUCAGCAUCACACAGCAUCACGCAUGUAACAUACAUGCACAUGUAUCUUCUGAAUCUAAUAUUAAACAUAAAUAAAUAAAAUCAAACACACACAUACAAAAAGCCAAACCCCAAAAUAAAUAAAAGCUUCAUUUUGACACUUAAAAUGUAUUAAAGCCUCAUUUAAUACUAGAUUUGAUUAAGGCCUCUCAACAUUGGCAUUAUUGAUAUGUUGGGGGCUUUCCUCAGCAUCAGUAAGAUAUUUAGCAGCAUUUCUGGUCUCCACCCACUAGAUACCCACACCAUACCCCAGGUGUGACAAUCAAAAUGUCUCCAUAUUGCCAAAUGUAUCCUGGGGGAUCAAAAUUGCUCCUGGUUGAGAAUUACUGGCCUAAAUCUUUCUUCUCUGUGUGUUGUGUUCAUUGAAAUAAACCGUGCUUCUUCUCAUUACAGAACUUCUAAACGCUCCAGCUCUUCUAUGUGACAUAAUCUCCAUAUCCCACCUCUAAAUCCUUAAUGUCAGAUUAUUGCUCAUAUCCAAGUGUAAUGGUCACUCCAUCGGUGUAGCCUACCCUAAUCCACCAAUCACAGUAUCAUAAUAACAGCCUUUCAUUUAGGGUUAAUUUGUAGCUGUAUGUUGACCACUGGGAUCAGGGAAUAAUUUCUGACUCCUCUUUCAGUCAGUAUACUUCAUAAGAUCUGGGGUAUUAUCUAUUUUACCCACUAUUACAUCCUCAGUACCUAGUAUGAAGGCUGGCCCAGGAUGGAAACUCAAUGAACGUUUAUUGAAUGAAUGAAUGAAUGAAUGAAAACUGAACAAAAAUUUACAGCCUCUGAAACCAACAACUAUUUUCUGAGUACUGAUUUUGCAUCAAGCAGGAUCCUGAGCCAGGGGACUCAGAGAAAAAUAAUACACAGUCUUUGCCCUAAGAGGCAUAGCCUUGUUGAAGAAAUUGAUUUGUAAGUAAAAAGGAAUGAUAGAGCAUCCUAAGUGGUCAGUGGAGGUCUCAACAACCUGAAGUUAACUAUAUACACAAUUCCAAUAUCUGCCUGUGAGAAUAAGAAAAGUUUUCUCAAAGAAGGUAAUUAUUGAGCUCAGAUUAAAGGUUAUAUAGAAAUUCACUAGAUAGACAAGGAUGGAGUGAGAAGACAGGUGGUAGAACUGGGUGUGAGAGGUGGGAAAUCACUCUGCACAGCAGUGCUGAAGGCGUGCCACAAUCCAGACAGCUAAGAAUCACCAUACACUUCUGUAUGAGUGAAGAGUGGGACUUAAAUUAGGCAGUAGUGGGAAAUGAGAUUAAAGAUUUCAGCAAGGACAGAGCAUGAGAACUUUGUGUGCCAGGCUCAGGAGUUUGGAGAUUGUCCUGAAGACAAUCAGUGGUCACAGAAAGGAAACGAGCAGUGGCAUAAGAGUCAGAUCUGUGAUUUCAGACUGAUAAUCUGAAUGUUGGCCAGUAGAUAAAGAAAGACAAAACUUCAGAAUGUCAUAAUGCAAGGUUUUAUUAAAAAUAAAAACCUUUGGAUGACCAUGUGUCUACCACACAAUAAUUUUUUUUUUUUUUUUUUUUUGAGACAGUCUCGCUCUGUCACCCAGGCUGAAGUGCAGUGGCAUGAUCUUGGCUCACAGCAACCUUCGCCUCUUGGGUUCAAGUGAUUCUCCUGCCUCACCUUCCUGAGUAGCUAGGAUUACAGGUGUGUGCCACCACAUCAGGCUAACUUUUGUAUUUUUAGUAAAGACAAGGUUUCACCAUGUUGGCCAGGCUGGUCUUGAACUCCUGGCCUCAAGUUAUCCGCUCACCUCAGCCUCCCAAAGUGCUGGGAUUAUAGGUGUGAGCCACUGUGCCUGGCUGCACAUAGUAAUUUCUCCUCAAAGAAAAUCCGAAGGAAAACUAAGUAUGAAGUUCAAAAAUGCAGAAAGCCUCUUCAUACUAAGAGGAAGGCCAAAGCUUACUGUGACUGGUGAGUCUUUCUAGCCUCUUCCCAAAGAACCCAUAUUUAUUGUUACUGGAAAUGUAUGUAUUAGAAGAUAUAGAGAUCAGGAGACCAGCUCCAGGUUUCAGGGACGAAGAGACAAACAGGCAUUUUUUGGACCCUGUGCCAUUCUGAAACCAGAUGAUUGAGUGUUUGUUUUCCCAUUGUCUGCAUUUAUGCCUUGUCCUCCAACACGAAUAAUUGUCAAGGUUUUGGUAGGCUGAAGUAUAUUCUAGGGAAAUUGGAUCUGCAAUUUUGCAGAAUUUCACAGUAUCUUUUGCAGUUCUGUGUAAAAUUGAUUGUUUAAAUCUAGUUUAUUUUACCUUGUUGGUCCUGGACUUACUAUCAGCUGAAAUAUUUAUAUCGCUGCCCCUUAGGAGUUAUGCAUUUCCCUUGUUCUGUAAAAACAAUAAUAAAAUAAAAGUGCUGACCUGCUCUAUGUAUAUGAGUAAUUGUUUUUAUUUUAAUUGCUUGAGUGCUUGUGGAAGGAGAUUGAAUUGUCUGGCCUCUUUUCUCUUUGACCAUUUCUUGCAUUACUUUCGUUUUUUUCCUUUUGCCACCAAAAGUAUUAUGCUGGUCACCAACCAUGUCUUUGGAGACUAUUUGAAGUUGAAAUUUUCAUGCUAAAUCUAGCCAUUUAAAAGGAGAUGUGGGAAGCAUAGACAUACACAAUCAUGCCUUGCUACCCAAUGCAGAAGUCCUCCUCACCAAGACAGGCCCCGGGACACUGGAAAAAAAAGCCUAAGCAUAUUCUUGCUGUUGUUUAAGUCUUAUUUUUGAAAGCAAGCCCCCCCUCCCCGCACACACACAAAUAGACACACAUAUUUUUUCUUACAAAUAACGUUGUCUUCCCAACACACUCCCCUUCUGACCGCAUUCAUUUAUUCAACACAAUUAAU
rnacentral:lncRNA from 10 species